UACAGAGGGGGCAAGCGUUAUUCGGAAUUAUUGGGCGUAAAGGGCGCGUAGGCGGCUUUCAAGUGACGGGUGAAAUCCCUCGGCUUAACCGAGGAACUGCCUGUCAGACUGGAAGGCUUGAGACCGGGAGAGGUGAGUGGAAUUCCCAGUGUAGCGGUGAAAUGCGUAGAUAUUGGGAGGAACAUCAGUGGCGAAGGCGGCCUGCUGGGCUGUUGCU
rnacentral:rRNA from 1 species